UCGGCGGUGCAUUUUGUUUCGAUGCUAUAGGUAGCUGCUUGCGCUUACUUCACUUCAGUGCAGUGCAGACGGUCUACUUUGUAUGCUGGAUCGGGAAUUCGACAACGGACAACAUGAUCUGACUGUGAAUUUGUUUCGGAAAUAUUCUUGUCAAAAUGUCGACUGCAAACUUAACUGAUCUAGAGUGUGAACUUACACAAUGUGGAGAGGAUACGUGUAGAAAUAGAUAUUGGUAUGUUUUCUUGAGUUCCAGUUUGAUAACUUUUUUUGGCGGCUUGUUGGGAAUUUUGGUUGUUCGACUAGCGGUGCUACUAGGAUGCAGGCGUCGGGUGUCGGACAGCCACCGGGCCAUCUCCACGAGCAAUGUGGCGAUGGAGCGCCCGGGGAUGAUGCAGAAUAAUGAAGACGUCCCAUGGAUGACAGCAAUUCGUGAAUAUUCGGCGAGUUUGAUAUCUGCCCAAACGAAGAUUGGAAAGUGCCUGCUGGUCGUUCAUUUUUCCCUUAGUAUGGGUUCCCUUAUCUGCUAUAUACUUGACACCACCAAGUGAUUUUGUCAUUCACUGUGAGCUUGGGCUCCUUCGUCAUAUACAUUCUUCAGCUUGACGAGUAAGUGUCUCGCGAUGUCGAGAGAUUGAAGUGCCUUAACGACUUCCUUUAAUACUCAUCAGAGUGUUGUGCUAUUCGUUUUUCUCCCUCAUGAUCUAAUUUUAAUUCAUUCAUUUCAACGUAGUUUCACUGCUUCAUCUUUCUGUUUGUUGUGAUGGAUCUAGAUGACAUCUCUGAACUAUUAACCCGUUAGCUACUGAAUUAUCUAAUUCCCAUAGGCUUAACACAGGGACCACCAGGUUCCAGUAAGCAAUGGGUUAACAUAAAUGCCACUCGAAACUGUUUUUGAAAUAGGCACUAACUAAUUUUCGAGGGGUUUAUUCUAAAGUAUGAAACUCUUUUUUCACUAUAUAUACUGAUCAAAAACAGUAUCGUUACCAAAUGAGCUUUAAAAUAGACUUUCAUGAAUCGAAUAUGAAUAGGCACUAACUGAUUUUCAAGGGUUUAUUCUAAAGUAUGAUGCUCUUUUUUCACUACCAGUAUUUAUACUGAUCAAAAUCGUUGUUGUUUCCAAAUGAGCUUCAAAAUAGACUUUCUGGAAUCAAAUUUGAUUUUAAAAAACUUCAUUAUUUCAGUGUUCAGAUGAUUAAAAGAAUAUUGAUCAAAAGCUAAAUGAAAAAUGGGAAGGAACCAUUUUUGAUUCCUGGAAACAAAAUGGCUUUUUUCACUUAGGACAUAAAUUGUACAUUAAACCAGGGACAUGAUAGAGAAAUUUUGGCAAACUUCUGGCACAUGCAUUGCUUAAAGGUUGCUUAAAUAAAGAACACUCACAAUCAAUAUGCCAAUCAAACAACUUUUAUUUUCUUUUACUUUCUUAUAUAUUAGAAAUUUAUGCAGCCAAAUGCACAUUUUAUUGCAAGAAUAGUAAAUAUACAUGUACAAUUCAUAGACAUGUUUAAGAUUUGAAGUUUUAAAGGAUUUUAGUAUUAGAGAUUUUUUUUGGUGAGAACAGGAAUUGUUGGGGAACAAAACUUAAUUCUUUUUUCUUAUUAGAGAAUGUAAAUACAUUCAAGACAGAAAGGUGAAGCAGAAGGAACAGAAAAUUCAUUCCAUAUUCGUUCAUUUCCACAGUGAUGUCGCCUUCAUUUGAUCAUUUAUUUAUCCAACAAUUGCUGUAAUGUGCUGAGAAUGAAUGUUUUAUUAUUAUAGUGACAAGUCUGUAAAGGGCUGCAUAAUGCUUCAAUAUUAUAUGACUAUUAUAGGCUGAGUACCCAUGGCCCUUUGCGAUUAUCUUUCAUUUUAUUACAGCCUUAUAAUUUUAUCUUUAUAUGUCAUCUUUAUUUUAAAUAUAAUUUCAGAAAAAUGUUUUUCCACAUUUACUCCCAAUAUAUCUGUAUUAACCUACCCUUCAUUUUAUGGAAGCUAAACCUGAUUUGUUAAUUUAAAUAAGAAUUUUAAAAAUAUUUUGAUAGCAGCAGGUUUGAUAAAUAGUGAAGUUGUAAUUUUGCUAUAAACUGUUUAAGUCUGAUAUUCAUAUAUGUCUUGAAAAUUGACAUUGUUUGAAAACCAUGAUGAUAUAAAUAUUCUAUUUAGCAACAGGAAAAGUGGGGUUUUGCACUUCUAUUAAACAGGACACAUUUUCCUUCAAUUUACUGUAAUAAUGUUAAUUUCAAAUUCUUUAAGAAAGAUGUCAUUUUCUGUGUGAAAUAGAUAUGACUUUAAUAUUGCUUGAAAACAAGAAAAUUACAAAUGACAGAUGCACCUCACAUUGUUGGCAUUAUGUCAAAAUUUGCUGAUUUCCUGUGUCUCAUUGGGUGAUAUACUGCAUUCCCUCCGAUAUUGAGGGGCACAUAAAUGAAGAUAGGUUGAAUUUAUGAAUUCUCUAUUGAAAGGAGCUACAAGAAGUAAAGUUAAAAGAUAAAAAGCAUUGAAGGCACACCUAACAUUUUUAAGUGAAAUAUGACAGGGGUUAUAAAUCUGUUUUGAAAAAUUAAGAAGCAAAACAAAAAUUGUUUAGCAUUUACAUGCAUUUGUCAAAAAAACAGAAGGCUUGCCUCCUGUUUUGAUAACACACAGACCAAAAUUGUAAAUUAUCCUUAAAAACAAAAAAGAAGCAUUUUUCCCCAGGGGUACUCACGUUGUGAUGUAUUAUCGUAACAAUAGCAAAACGUGAGUAGCCUUUAAAUACAUUUCCCUUAAAAUGUGUUACUUGUAUGAACAGACGAAAACAGCUACAUGGUCAUUAUGUGAUUCUGUUUUUCCUGGAAUCCUGACUGUGUUUAAUAAAACAUGUACUACGUUGUGAGCUUUGAGCAUUGUUGUUUAAUACAUUUCUUUUUUUAAGUUAACCCUUUGGACAAUGUGAUAAAAGCUUUUAAGUUUUGAUGUCCUUGGUUAGCGUCUCAGGAUACAGGGUCUUAGGAUUACAGCUCUUGCAUAACGCAGAUUGUGCUUUUUGUGUGGAAGUGUGAUAUAACAGUUCACUCACUCGGCACUCAAUCCAAGGGUGGAGGGUUCUAAAUCCAGUCCGUCUUGACAUUUAAAGGGAUCAUUUAACAAUGCUAAAUCUGAGAUACACUGCCCUAUGUGUUA